ensembl:lncRNA
CGUAGUCCAGGUGCAGAGUAGAAAACCCACGAUGAUCACAGGAAACAGCCCACGAAAUCCCCGCAGCGGCGUUGAUCUCCGGUCAGCAAACUCACAGUUAGCCGUUAGCAGAAUCCACGUCGUGGCGUUCACAGCUCUGUGUCUGAAAAGUCAGCAGCCAGCCGACGAAUAAUCCAAUGUCUCAGGAAAUGAAACGGUCAGAGGAGCGACAGAUUCUAUGGACAUUUGGACUAUAUAGAUGUCAGCAUUUCAUUUAAAGCAGCAUCUGCAGUGAUUCACAAGCGGUGGAGAAGGAAGCAGCAGCUGAAGUGCGUUAGGGUUUCCUGCAGGAGAGAGGAGGGAUGGUGGCAUUGUCAUCACAGCAGGCAUUGUUGUUUGGCAGGUCCACCACCAAUGCAGUGACAGCUGUGGAUUACCUGAAACAGAACAGAGGUCGCUGGUCGAAGCAGUUCGUAGAGUCGGGAUGCUUGGAGGAAAAUGAGCUUCGCCGGCUUUCACAUGGAGAUGUUGCUGUAGAUGCUGCUGUAGAGCUGAUCGAUCUUCGCCUUGAAGAAUUCCUGUUUUUGCGCCAAAAUUCAUGAUGAUUUUUUUUCCAAAGAAAACCUUUCUGGAGUGUUUUUCACAGCCUCCUUUACAUUAUUUCAUCAUAUGGCACGUUUUUACAACAUGUUGAAAAAUCGUAUUUUUUUCCGACAUAGUAUAUUAUGUCGACAAAAAAAUGUGUUCUAAUGCUACAUUGUGUUAGCUAAUUCUGUUGAGAGGCUAAUUGAUGAUUAGAAAACCAUUGUGCAAUUAUGUUAGCACAUGCAUAAAAGUAUGAGUUUUCAGUUAGCUAACACAAUGUAGCAUUAGAACACAGGAGUGAUGGUUGCUGGAAAUGUUCCUCUGUACCUCUAUGGAGAUAUUCCAUUAAAAAUCAGCUGUUUUCAGCUAGAAUAGUCAUUUACCACAUUAACAAUGUCUAGACUGUAUUUAUCAUUCAUUUCAUGUUAUCUUAACUGAAAAAAAUGCUUUUCUUUCAAAAAAAUCAGGACAAUUCUAAGUGACCCCAAACUUUUGAACAGUAGUCUAUAUGUAAUGGGUGAAAAGGUGUCAAACGACUGAUUACCUACCUUUAAGUGAGAAGCUCCGUUUGGGGAAGUAAAUUAAAUGUACUCAUUCAGUCCCUGAGGCAAACUUUAACUGUAGUUUCACAUCUGCAGAAAAACGGACUCAUUCUGACUUCAGAUCAGGAAACAGACUCAAACAGCACGUAGUCGGUCAGAGGCUGAAAAUUAACUUCCAGUCAGAGACAUCUGGAAAAAAAGACGAGGCUCAACAUAAUUAUUCUGCUUUAUGUAGUUGGAUUUAAACAACACAUUUAAGAAACCAAGUUUUAUUAUUCCAAAGGGGCACUUUAUACAAUAUCAAGGUAGGAAUUAAAUAUGGAAUCAAAUUGAUGAAACAAAGCAGGCAGUGUACGAGACCAUUGCAGCUUGCAUAAGAACACUUCAGCCUCGUCUCCGUUGGCAGCAGAGCUCAGCUGAGGUUCGUCUGACCUCCAGAACGACCACUACGAUGCUGAAGUCUGGCCAGUGGAGACGAGGCGUUUGACAAAACCCACAUGAAAUCCUGAGGAGAGUCAGAUUUCAUGUGCAAAUAUAUUAUCACAACUCGCAGCUCGAAAAAUAGAACAAUCUUUCUUAUUACAAUGAUAAGGGACAUUAUAAAGAAAUCUUUCUCCAAAAUAGAACCCAGUAGAUGCUGACAUGUGGUAACGCUAUAUACAUCUUCCUUCUGCUUCAAAUAAAAUACAUCUUCGCCAAAGCAACGUUAAAUAUAUUAUUGUUUGAAGUAUUUUACAGGCAGGAAAGUACCUUUUUAUGUUCCCAGAUAAACUGAGCGAUAGGUAGAGUGCAUCAGAGAGAGGAAAGUGAACUCAAACAGAAGCGAUUAAGAGUUUUUAGAGCCGAUUGUUUAGUUUGAGUGAUGGAUUUGUUGAUCUACCUCCCUCUUACAGCUGCUGUGGAGUAAAUAUGCAAAGAUUAACUUGAUACAAAUGAAAGUUUUGGCAUGGCUUUGAUAAAACUCUUUAAAAAAUGUUAGGAAUAAUUAUAUUCUGUUUACAAUCAGUUACACACAUGGGUGACAAAUGAACGCUCGCUGACAUGACUGGUCUAUUAUUUUCUGUAUCUAUAGAUCUAUCAUCGCAAUUAAAGGAAAGUUCGUAGCAAAUAAUUUAAGUCAACAAAACACGUCUUAAAACACACAUGCAGAAAAGGCAUUUUGUUGUGGAAAUAUUGCUUCUAUUAUCCUAAGAUGUAAACAUUAGAGCAUCAUGUGACUGUAUUUAAAUAAUACAGUCCAUCAGUGCAAACAUUCUCCAGACCAAAAGUAACAAAAGAUUAAAUGUUAUUUCUCAGUUGUAAUACAAGUACCACA